CCCUGGUAGUCCACACCGUAAACGCUGUCUACUAGCUGUUUGUGAAUUUAAUUCGUGAGUAGCGAAGCUAACGCGAUAAGUAGACCGCCUGGGGAGUACGGCCGCAAGGUUAAAACUCAAAUGAAUUGACGGGGGCCCGCACAAGCGGUGGAGCAUGUGGUUUAAUUCGAUGCAACGCGAAGAACCUUACCUACUCUUGACAUACUAGAAACUUUUCAGAGAUGAAUUGGUGCCUUCGGGAAUCUAGAUACAGGUGCUGCAUGGCUGUCGUCAGCUCGUGUCGUGAGAUGUUGGGUUAAGUCCCGCAACGAGCGCAACCCUUGUCCUUAGUUGCCAGCCUUAAGUUGGGCACUCUAGGGAAACUGCCCGUGAUAAGCGGGAGGAAGGUGUGGAUGACGUCAAGUCCUCAUGGCCCUUACGUCCAGGGCUACACACGUGCUA
rnacentral:rRNA from 1 species